rnacentral:rRNA from 1 species
UACAGAGGGGGCAAGCGUUGUUCGGAGUUACUGGGCGUAAAGGGCGCGUAGGCGGCCUUCUAAGUCGAACGUGAAAUCCCUGGGCUCAACCCAGGAACUGCGUCCGAUACUGGAAGGCUUGAAUCCGGGAGAGGGAUGCGGAAUUCCAGGUGUAGCGGUGAAAUGCGUAGAUAUCUGGAGGAACACCGGUGGCGAAGGCGGCAUCCUGGACCGGUAUUGACGCUGAGGCGCGAAAGCCAGGGGAGCAAACGGG